UCGGGUAUGGUGUAACGGUUAACAUCAACGAUUUUCAGUGCCAGUGUGCACAUUACUCGUUAGCUCCGGGUUCGAUUCCCGGUAUCCGAG